UCAACUGUUGACCGAAUUUCGGGCAUAGGGAUAACCAAAAAGGACGCAGGACACCACAGCAAAGCACAGGAUUUAUUGAUUCCGGCAGCUAGAUGAAAAAUGAAAAUUGCAGUGCUGGCAGAAAAAACACCGAAAUCACAGCAAUACCAGCCGCAAUCAUCCAUAUGUACUGACCUGGGAUUUCAUCAGCGAGCCGAAUGAAUGGCGUCUCUUAUUGAUUAGCGGCAAUGAUGCACCCAGACCAAUCCAAGCGAACCGAACCCCUGGCACCACCCAACCAUCCACCCAUCCCAUCAGCCGAAAGCUAACCCGAUCCGAAUCUAAAUUCGAUGCCGAGCACCCGGCUGACCUUGCAUGCCGCACCAACUAUUGGCUGCAUGGCAGACACGGAACAGCAGUUGUUUUAAUAAAUUU
ensembl:ncRNA lncRNA:CR45819 long non-coding RNA:CR45819